ensembl:lncRNA
UGGUAGUCUGCAUUUUUUCCUAGAAAUUUGUCCAUUUUAUCUAAGUUAUCUAAUUUUUUGGCACAUAGUUAGCUGUUUAUAGAAUUCCCUUAUGCUUUUUUAUUUCUAUAAGUCUGAUAGUAAUGUCUCCUCUUUUAUUCCUAAUUUUAGAAAUUUGGAAAUCUUCUCUCUUUGUCUCUCUCAAUUUGGACUAGCUAAAGGUUUCCCCAUUUGUUGAUCUUUCCAAAGAGCCAACUUUUGGUUUUGCUGAUUUUCUCUUUUGUUUCCCUAUUCUACAUUUCACUUAUUUUACUCUCUAGUCUUUAUUAUUUCCUUCCAUCUACUGACUUUGGAUUAUUUGCUCUUCUUUUUCUAGUUUUUUAAGUCAAAAGUUUAGGUUAUUGAAUUGAGAUAUUUCUUCUUUUAAAAAUAUAGAUGUUUAAGAGCUAUAAAUUUCCUCUGAGCACUGCUUUAGCUGCAUCUCAUAAAUAUUGUAUGUUGUGUUAUCAUUUUUAUUCAUCUCAAUUUUUAAUUUCCCUUUUGAUGUCUUCUUUGAUCCUUCGUUAUUUGUCUUUAAUUGUCCCUAAGAAAUAUUCAGUAUUUCCUUUUCUAGUUGAUAUUACAUUUUGCUGCGCAACUAGUCCUAUGAAAAUCAGUUUAGUUUAAUCAACAUUUGUUGAGUACCUACUAUGUUCAAGCUGAGGUUGGGAAUACAAAAAUGUUUAAGACAGUUCCUGCACUGAAGUAAUUCACAUUACAGUGGGAGAGAGGACCCUGAAAACAGACAAUUAUAAGUUGAUACAUCCAAUGACAGACUUACAUUAAAAAUACAAAAGAAUAUAGAAAAAAAAGUAAGCAGGUAUGUCUAACGGAGUAGAUUUCACAAUGGUGAUAAUUACUGAGCAGAGUUUCUAGGGACAGCUAGUAACUCAUUAGUCAGGCAAAAAUGAUGAAAGGCCAUUUCCCAGGCAGUGGACUUAGUACGGGAGAAGACUCAGAGCUGUGAAACAAGGUAGCGUAUUUAAGAUCACACUUUCCUCCACCCUCAGUCUAUGAGACUCUGAUGAAGCAGAUUUUACCCCGCACUCCAGGCUGAUGGAUCUGACCCAGACAUAAGACAACCAGAUGGUUAUGCUGCCUUGGCCACGGACUGGUUCAGGAAUGGGCGCAAGUCGAAGCCAAAAGGAUACACUGGGACUUUAACUGGGGUUUUGAGGAAAAAAAAAAAAAGACUUUUUCUUUUUCAUGCUGGAAAACACCUAGCAGGCAGCUGAAAACCCAAGUCAUCUUCAUGUGCUUGAAACCAGAGGGACGGGGGGCAGCCAAGGGAGAGCACCUGUCGUAUAGCGGGAACUCAAUAAAUAUUCAUUGAGUAAAUGAACAUAUGAACAAUGCGGAGCACAGAAUCCUGAGGAAUCCCAGGAAUCCCAGCUGAAAGCCAUCCCAUCUUCCUCUGAACUCCCACAACUUUUCAGAAUUGUUCACAUGGUGUUUUAUAGUCACCUCUGAAUCUGCACUGGCUCUUCCCUGAGGAGCUACUGCUUUUCUGAUCCUACUUACUUGUAUUAUAUAUAAGACUUUAUGUUAUCUGGCCCUACCUCUUCAACGUCAACUUUUAUCAUUCUGGUGGUAUUUUAAAACUUGCUGUACCCUGAACACACAACACACACUUGUUUCUGUUCUGUGCAUCUUCUCCAGAAUACUUCACUUACUGAGAACUAAUAAGCUGCCAAGUCACUUGUGAAGUAAAACCCAUUAGUGGAGGGUGAUAUCAACAUCAGAGUGAUGAUCAGCAUUCUUCAAUGAGACCCAACAGAAGAGAGUGAGAUAGAGAAUGGCCAAGUGCAUCACAUAAAGUAGGAAUAAGUAUUACUUUUGUGAAAUUUUGUUUCAGCUGAUGGGUGUGUCCUGAGUCACACUCUAAAACAUAUUUCUUACUGUAAAUUAGAGAGUAAAAAGUUUAAGACCACUACCCGAAGACACCACUAUUCCCAAGGUGAGCGGGUCUUUGGUUUAAAGCUCAAACAACUGGAGUUUCUGUCGUGGUGCAGUGGUUAUUAACGAAUCCGACUAGGAACCAUGAGGUUGCGGGUUUGAUCCCUGGCCUUGCUCAGUGGGUUAAGGAUCGGGCGUUGCCGUGAGCUGUGGUGUAGGGUGCAGACGAGGCUCGGAUCCCGCGUUGCUGUGGCUCUGGCGUAGGCCGGUGGCUACAGCUCCGAUUCGACCCCUAGCCUGGGAACCUCCACAUGCCGCGGGAGCGGCCCUGGAAAAGGCAAAAAGACAAAUAAAAUAAAAUAAAACUCAAGCAACUAAGAAUACUCAUAGAUGUCCCUUACCUGUAUCUCUACCUGAAAUUUUGAAACUUUGUCCCCAGGUCUAAACUCUUUGGAAGGUCACAAAUCAGGUUAGAGUCUUUACUUCUGUCGCAGCAACCACAUCGAAACACAACAACAAUAGCAACAAAACCCUGUCCUUUCAAAUCCAACACAGCCUGGCUUGGAGCACUUUGCUGCUGCCAACUAUGCUACUUGGAAUGAUAGUUAGCACUUACUGAGCACCUGCUGUUUUCCAGGCUUUGUUCUAAGCUCUUAACAUAUACAAUCGUAUUGAUUCCUUACGACAACCCCAGAGGUAGGUAACAUUAUUGCCUAGUUUUGUCUUGUAGACUGGGGAGAUGGGGGUAUGGAGACAGUGACUCAACUUUCCCCAGGCCUCACAGCUCGGAGGCAGGGGAGCUAAGAUUUGAACCCUGCAGUCUAGCCCUUCACCUCCACGCUCUCUGGCCUCCCAAGCGGCUUUCCUGUGGGGCGGACACAACAGCUCUCAUGGAACAGCUCUUCUGCAGUGGCCCUGAGCAGCUAUGGCACCUGAAGAAGAUCCUUUACGCUGGGGCUCCUGUUAUGCCUCACCGUCCGUUUUGAUCAAGAAAAGCGAGUUUAUGUGGCCCUGGAUCUGCAGUUCAGUGUUCAUCUGCGGGUUGGUUUAAACUCUACCUGGUUCCCUUGGAGAGAGAGAAGAGAGGAGAAAAACGAGGCCAAAAACUCAUCCCGAUUUUUAAGGUUAUUUUUAAAAAGCAAGAUGACGGGGGAAGACAGCAUCCGUCUGGCUCUUGAAAGGAAGGGGCCUCUGUCUCCGGCCCAUGAUUUUCUCGGACUUUGAAGCUCUGCUCCCUGCUGGAGACUCUGAGGGCCUCUCUGCUCCGGGCGCUCUCUCGGGCCAUGCGCUCCCGUUGAAGCUGAUGAGCACAAAAUUGGGACAGGCUGCCAAAAAGACCCCCCCGCCUUUGUUCCGAGUGAAUGCUCGCUCUUUCUGAAAACCCCCAGCGUCAUCUAAGAAAGAGAGAGGGCAGACCCGAUUUCCGAAGAAGAAAGCCGACGGUCUGGGAGACGGUCUUCCCGGGUAUUCAGCGAGUUACAGAACAACAGGGAGAAAAAGAGUCAGAGCCAGGACCAAAAAAAAAAUAAAUUAAAAAACACCAACAAAUAAAAAAUAAAACGACCCAGUGCUGCUGUGAGCCCCUCUCCUAUCAGGUUUCACAGAGAGGGGCAAUAGAUUUUCUUCAUUGCCAGCCCUGACUUAUCACAGCCUUGUUUUUAAUGAGGUAUAAUAAGGGGAACAUUUUGUAACAACACGGUUCCCCUAUUUUAUCCCGCAAACAGCUGUGUCAUGCUUGUGGCUGCAAGAAUGAAUCAUAUCUCUGCCUGCAUAUGCUAACUCCCAUGUAAUUACCCCGGCAUCUUAAAUAAAGCAGGCCCUAAACCUGUCGCUCACAUUACAAGCAAAUGGUGCAGCCCUCGUCACUGGGGCCUCUAUCAUUACAAUUAAUUUAUCACAGAAGCAACGGAGAUUAGAGGCUAGAAUUAAAACCCAGAGCAUGGCGAGUCCCCGGCGUGACACUGACAAACACGCUCUCGAGGGGCGGCUGGCUCCGGCGGCGGCCUGACGAAUGCCUUUCCUGGGGCAAAGCGGCCUUAGCUGGAUUUGGUUUUCUUUACAUUUUUCCCCCUCGAAGAUUUGACGACAGUGACUUCACUGUGUCUCUCGAUGCAAAAUGAUGUUGGAAAAAUCCCACCCGAUGCCUAAUCAGAACCCUGAGCCGGAGUCACCAUUUGCUCAUUCUUAAACCACCCCUGUCUCUCCAAGCGAACGGUCCCCGGAGCCCUCCCAUUUGUUGUCGUUAUUGGAAAGGAAUGUCUUCUGACACCAGUUUGUGUCCUUUCAGGGGGCAGGGGAUUGGGGGGGGGACCCGGAGGGUUUGCUUCAAAUAUAAAAAUGCCGUCGGCCCUCCUCCUCCGGCAGCGUUUCUCCCCAAAGCCUCCUCGGUUGAAUCACAGGGGCGGAAAAAUGACGUGGAGCGGCUUCCCGAGUUCUCCCAAGGAUGGGACCCCUCGUACAUGUAGAUGGUACAUUCUAGAUGCACAGGAGAGAGGCCAAUUCAUCACACGCAAGGGGGGCCUUCGUACCUUCACGCUUACUGUGCUGGAACAAGGCGGGAGAGAGCUGAGCGGACGGAGUCGGUUAGAGCAUUUGCUCAGCCGGCCCCCUCGAGAACCGUCCCCCACUUCACAAUCAGCUCCCAUCCUAGUCAGAGAAGUGCUCCCCGCCCCUUCCAGGGGCUCCUUUCAUUAAUGAGUGGACAGGGCCUCACCCAGCCAUCCUCACCUGAAUGCUGAAUUAGAAUAUGCUAGGUCGGAGUUCCCGUCGUGGCGCAGUGGUUAACGAAUCCCACUAGGAACCAUGAGGUUGUGGGUUUGAUCCCCGGCCUCGCUCAGGGGGUUAAGGAGCCGGCGUUGCCGUGAGCAGUGGUGUAGGUCGCAGAUGCGGCUCGGAUCUGGUGUUGCUGGGGCUGUGGUGUAGGCUGGCAGGUGUAGUUCUGAUUGGAUCCCUAGCCUGGGAACCUCCAUGUGCCAUGGGUGUGGCCCUAAACACCAAAAAAAAUGUGCUAGGUCUCUAGACAUUGGUGGAUCCUGUUGUUGUCAUCACCAAAGCCAUCACCAGAGCUCAAAAGUCGACUCUUUCUGUUAGUCCUACAUGGUGCAGCAGGCCCUACUGUGUGCCCAUUUCCUCUCCCUCCCGGGCACACACCUGCACUGCCUUUCCCAGCUGCCCUUGCUUCUAGAUAUGACGAAACUCUGGUCAUCCCGUGAAGGGGAUGGACGCACUUCUCCUGGGCUGGUAAGGACCUGCUUGACCCUCCAUGCUUUCUUCUUUCUCACAUGCCAGAGGCUUCUGAACCCCAGGGGCUGACGAAUCUGAAUUCCCAAAUCACCGCUAUGAAACUGAAUUCUACACAGGGCUCGGUGGAUGUGGUGAUGCCUCUAUCCUGACUGAUAAAGCCUGAAAAUGAGAUGGCUCAACCCCUUCCUCAGAGGCUCCACAGCUUGUGGAGAACAGGGAAGGAAGGAGAACCUGGAGCCCAAGGCUGGGGAAGCAGAUUUCGGAGACAUUUCGGCACGCGGAUAGAAUAAAGGGCUUAGGCCAGCCGAGGCCAGCUGUGGGCCCAGACUCGGAGCUGGGAGGGGUCCUUGGUC